rnacentral:lncRNA from 1 species
UACCACUCCUGAAUAUUGCCUUAACUAUGGAUUUCUUGUUCCUAAGAUUUAUGCCUUUUUUCUUUCUUCAUUGUCACUUUAGGAUAGUUUCAGAAGGAGGCUGAAAUAAACAGGUGUGUUUAUAUAAUAGAUCAUCUUUUAUUACAUAUUUGACUUGGAAAACAUAGGAACUAAAUCUGCUAAGUAAUAUGCAUCACCCUUCUGGGUAAUGCUGUUUUUUGUCAAAUGCAAACUGUGAUGUGAAAUAAUGAGAUUGGCUUUCUGAUGUGGCUCAUAAUCCACCUCCAAAGGCAAUUUAAAGAAAUCAGUGUCAAAAUGUUUUGAGCAAUAGCUGCCUAACCUCCGAGUGUCUAACCUCCAAGGGGGACUACUUUGUAGGGGACAAUGCUCCUUUAGAUGUUUUAAUUCUGGUUUUGUCUCAACGUCGAUUUUUUACUUGGCUCAGAUAAUGCUUCAAAAUUGCUCUUUAGCUGUUUCUCUUGGGUGUGUUUUGUUGGGGAAAUCCUUAACUCCACCAUGGAGCUCUGUGACUCUCCAAGAGUGGCCAUUGAAACACCUCUAUCAAAACCAUUUGGGAAAUUAGUAAAAAUGCACCUUCCUGAGCCCCAACUCAGGCCAGAUUGAACCUGAAUAUCUGGAGGGUGUUAGCCUGGAAUUAGAUUUUUAACAAGCAUCCAGGUGAUUUUUAUGCACAGUAAAGUCUGAGAACCACUGCUUUAACUUUUUAUGUGAUUUGUAGUAACCUCCCCUCCACCUUAUAUUUGUUGGGCCAGGAGCAAGGGUACAAAUGGAGGCUCAUAUUCCCUAUGUCUAAAUAUUUCUAAAUCAAUCAAUUAAAAAGUUAUAAAUUAAUGUAAAAAUUGUUACAAAGAAUAAAUUCCUUUCUUUUAGUUUCAGAGUUAUCCCUUCAUAACAACUUGGAAGGACAUUUUCAAAUGUAGCAUUCUCAAGCUUCUCAAGGUUCCAGCUAGGACAUGGAAAUGUGGAACGAGCUGACUCCAUCCUCUGGCUUCCAGCUUAUGGCUUGUCUCUCUUCUCUUCCAUCCCAGUUCAGAUUCUCACUACAAGAAGAAACUAUGUGUUCUGUUUUGCAGAGGUCGCUGUCCCCAUUUUGCAGAUAUAGCUGGAAACCUGCUGAGAAACUUACACAUUUAAAGCCAAGACCCCUGCAAAGUGUUCCAGCCCCAAGCGUCCUAAACUUACCUUAAAUUCAUUAGCAUCUUAAAUUCUCCUCCUCUGGGAGGGUCCAAACAGCCAUUUUUAGAUGAUGCAAUGUAUGUAAUAGUAUGUUUACCUGCUACAACAGUUCCACAGUUGUUCCACAGUUGUUACCCAGUUGUUACAAAUAAACAUUGUAUCUUCUGCUUUCUUCUGUAUAAAGUCUCCAGCCCUGGGCUCGGAGAGACACUGCAUUGAGAGCUAUCCCUGGUGUUCUCCACUGCAUGUGCAAACAAUAAACCUUUUCCUCAC